CGGGAAGGAGCGCCCGGAUUCCUGGGAAAAGUGGUUUUCUGCUGCCUCUUGGGGCUGUGCGACCUUCAGAAAACCUUCAUGAACAAACAAAUAUCCCCCGGAAAAAAAAAACAAAACAAAACGACAGAAGAAGGCUCCAGGCUGGAAGUGUAAUCCAUAAAAAAUGUGUGUCAGGUGGUUGAUGAAUAUAAAUUGCUGAGCACCGUAGGCCUGCGAGGCUGGAGGAUGCAUGAGGGAGACAGGGCUGUCUUCCGUGUCGGGGAGCUGGACUGUGAAAUUAAGCACGUGGGUUUGCAGCCUUGUCAUUCUGCCUCGUGUUUCCUGGAGUUCCACUGCUGCAGACACGGCCAGUUUAUGGAAAUGCACAAAGAGAUCUGAGGAAUGACCUCCAUAGAGGACAAGCAAGGAGUUUCUGCCCUGCCUCGCUGACCUUGCCCCUACAGCUCUGAGAACCAAGCAGAGUUGGUUUGCUUGCAGGAAAAGCACAGCUCUCCUAAGGAAGCGCUGGUUGGGCGCUGAUGAUUUAACCCGCCUGAAGAAGACCCUAAAAGACCCACCCGGUGUCUGAAGGUGUCUGAAGGUGUCUGAAGGUGUCUGAAGGUGUC